rnacentral:rRNA from 1 species
GUAGUCAUAUGCUUGUCCCAAAGAUUAAGCCAUGCAUGUCUAAGUAUAAGCAAUCUAUACGGUGAAACUGCGAAUGGCUCAUUAAAUCAGUUAUCGUUUAUUUGAUAGUACCUUACUACUUGGAUAACCGUGGUAAUUCUAGAGCUAAUACAUGCUAAAAACCUCGACUUCGGAAGGGGUGUAUUUAUUAGAUAAAAAACCAAUGCCCUUCGGGGCUCCUUGGUGAUUCAUAAUAACUUAACGAAUCGCAUGGCCUUGUGCCGGCGAUGGUUCAUUCAAAUUUCUGCCCUAUCAACUUUCGAUGGUAGGAUAGUGGCCUACCAUGGUUUCAACGGGUAACGGGGAAUG